UAUUUUGGUGCUUUAAAGUGAAAAAGGUAAUCUUGACCUUAUUUCAAUAUGGUGUUGAUAAUUUUCAACGAAUCUUUCCGUUCUUUUAAUGUUAAAGUUUCAAAGCAAUUCGAAGUUUCUACCAAUGCCUGUGAUUGGUCGUUCCAUUAUGGCGUCCUCAUAUUUAAACCAAUCAGAUUCAUUGUUGAAUGGUGUGUGGCGCGGAGUGUGGUGGAGUGCAACAGUCCUCAUCGAAGCUUCGUCCGUUUGGCACGUGUCUGCAACAAGUAUCGGCCAAUAGCAGAAUAUACCGAACAUUGCCGAGUGUUGUCGAAGUGCCGACCGGUCUACGAUGGGAAGGAAGGUCUCGCCAUUGCUCUCUCGAGCGUCGAAGUGAGAAGACGAGUUUAGGUCGCGCUCCCGCAUAAGCAAUACAAAAAUAUUUAUUUGACUUCAAAAAGGCGCCAUGGGAUACGACGCCAUUGAUAUUGGUUCGAAAUAUAAUUUUGUAAAGGGUAUAUAAUAUAAUUGGUAACGUUUUAAUUUAUUAUAAUCAAUUAUUAAUGCUUUUUUUGA